rnacentral:lncRNA from 1 species
AAAAGUGCUAGUAAAUGGUAAAUUAUGGUAGGCUCUACUGAUUUAUGCUAAGCAGAAUAAACUAUGAUGGAAACAUAAAAUUUCUAGGCUUACACUUUAGUCACUCAAUACACAUAAAACUCAAUUUUCUUCCGUAAAAAAUAGAUAUUUGGAGCACUGAGACUUUCCAGAGGAAAUCCGCUUAUUUGCUAUCUUUGUGUUCACUCAUGUCACAUAUUCCAAGCUUAAAAGCUGAAAAUGUUUUGAUAUUCUCCAGUGAAAGGUACUGUGUGAUGCCCCCACUUAAAUAUAAAGCCUACUAUUAUAUUAUCCCUACUAUUACAUCAAGUGACUUUCCACCCACAAUUUGAAGGGGUAAUGUCAGAACAAGGCUUCGAUAGCUAAACUCAUUGUUCAAGUAUUGACAGGCUGGUUGCCUAACCAGAAAAUGCAGAAGUCAACCAAGGGAGCCUAUUUUGGGAUCAGGUUUGUCACCAUCUACGAUACAUAGAACCAGGAGGUAAACAGGAAGUGCUGAGUUGGCUUGGUUUACUCCUACAGGCACAGAGAGAAAUAAAAUCAGUGUUUACCAAAUGGAAAAGCACAAAGUUGGUACAGAGAGAAAUGCUAUUUUCAUGCUUCUAAAAAGGUAUUACAAAUAACACAAAGUUUCAAACCUAUAAUUAAAAACUAUUUUAAAAAAGCUUUGAUUAAGUUACCUUCGAAAAUAGACCUUUUAGGCUGAAGCCCAUUUCUUAAAGGCCUGACUUCCACCUAUGCUGCUUUCCCCUAAUGCACACUCUAUAAAUGCCCCUCUUAAAUAACAGAUUUCGAUAGAGAAAAUAUGCCUUAGAGUCAUCUAGCAGAAGUUCCAUGCUCCUGGGGUCCCUGGGUGGCUCAGUCAGUUAAGCAUCCGACACUUGAUUUUGGCUCAAGUCAUGAUUUCAGGGUAGUGAGAGGGUGUGACAGGCUCUGUGCUCAGUGUGGAGUCUGCUUGAGAUUCUCUCUCUCCCUCUGCCUCUGCUCGUGCUCUCUCCUUCACUCAAAAUAAAGAAAUAAUAUCUUAAAAAAGAAGUUCAAUGCUCCUGCUUAACUGGAGAAUCUAAGGCCCUAAAGUGAACAUAAUUUAUCAAAUGCCACAUAGAAAGAGGUAGAGCCAGUUAGAGGCAGGGAGAAUUUACAAUCCAGGCAAAAGUUACAGACAGAUUGAAUUUUUUAGCGCCAGAUCUAAGAACAUAAACCUUGUGGUAAAGGGGCUAAAUGCAUUGUUGUUGUUGUCUGGGCCAGAAGCUGUAAGGCUAAUCCUAUGGGUUCUGGACAAGACCCUUUCUUCUUUUGGUGUCAAUGGCCUCAAAUGAAAACUGAAGUGAUUUGCAUUUCUAAUGUUGUGAAUCUAAGAAAAGACUGAAAAAGGUGAUGAUCCAGGGAAAUAAAGAAUAAACAAAUGGAAAUGAAGAUAGAUUAUUUUGGGCAAGAGUAAUUCAUAAUAUUUAAAAACCCAGUAGGGUUGUCUGAGGUUGAUUACACUUGAAUAACCCAGAUUUCAGACCAGCAUCAACACUCAAACCAAGAAUAGCCAAAAGAAGAAUGGGCAAUGUACAAGAUUAGGCAAUUUGAAAAAAGAACAUCUAGACAAGGCCAAUAAACACAUGAAAAAUGUUCAGCCUCAAUGGUAUUCACAAAUGGGAAAACAAUUUCAACAAUCAGAGUUUCCUCUUCUUUAAACCGGAAAAGACUAAAAAGGGUAAUGAUACCCAGUGUUGGUGAAGGCACAGAGAAGUUGAUUGGCAAACACUGAAAAUGAGAAUGCUAAUUGGGUAAAACUGAGCGGAGGGCCACUUGGACAUGUUUCAAGUUUUAAAAAUGAAUAACCUGAGGCAGUAGUUCCAAUUCUAGGAAUUUACCUUAGACGAAAUUUCUACCACCAGUUUAGUGGAUCACUGAUGGGCACAAAUUCUUUGCUGUUCUUCUUAGCAAGAGGUAGAGUCCAUUUCCCUUCCUCUUUCAUCUGGACUGGCCUUGUGGCUGGCUUUGAUCACUAAAGAUAGCAGAAGUGGCAUUGUGGGACCUCCCAGCCAUGCCUUAAGAGGUCUGGCAGUUUCUGUUUCAUCUCUCUUAAAUGCUAGUUGUGUUUUAAGUUCAACUGCCCUGAAACUACCAUGCUGUGAGGAAGCCAAUGUCAUGAGUGAAAAGAGAAAUCACGGAGGCUCAAAAUCUCCAAAUCUAUGAGCAAAGCCUUUUUUGAUCCUCCUGGCCAGCUCAGCUGUCUUCUGCAUGAGGCUGAGUAACUGCCAGAUGAUGCCAUGUGCCAGAUGAAUAACUACCUAGUUAAGACCUGCAUGAAUCCUUGGCCCGCCAGGUCAUGAGAAAUAAUAAAUCAUUAUCAUUUUAAGCCACUGAAUUUGGGGUGGUUCAUUACACAGCAAAGGGCACUGAAACAGAAAUAGGGAAGGUCAACCAUCAGGCAAGGAAUCAUACCAGCUGAAGUGUUUACUGAUGAGAGCA